UGGGGAAUUUUGGACAAUGGGCGAAAGCCUGAUCCAGCAAUGCCGCGUGUGUGAAGAAGGCCUUCGGGUUGUAAAGCACUUUUGUCCGGAAAGAAAUCCUUGGCUCUAAUACAGUCGGGGGAUGACGGUACCGGAAGAAUAAGCACCGGCUAACUACGUGCCAGCAGCCGCGGUAAUACGUAGGGUGCAAGCGUUAAUCGGAAUUACUGGGCGUAAAGCGUGCGCAGGCGGUUUGCUAAGACCGAUGUGAAAUCCCCGGGCUCAACCUGGGAACUGCAUUGGUGACUGGCAGGCUAGAGUAUGGCAGAGGGGGGUAGAAUUCCACGUGUAGCAGUGAAAUGCGUAGAGAUGUGGAGGAAUACCGAUGGCGAAGGCAGCCCCCUGGGCCAAUACUGACGCUCAUGCACGAAAGCGUGGGGAGCAAACAGGAUUAGAUACCCUGGUAGUCCACGCCCUAAACGAUGUCAACUAGUUGUUGGGGAUUCAUUUCCUUAGUAACGUAGCUAACGCGUGAAGUUGACCGCCUGGGGAGUACGGUCGCAAGGUUAAAACUUAAAUGAAUUGACGGGGUCAUAGCUGUUUCCU
rnacentral:rRNA from 1 species